UACGAAGGGGGCUAGCGUUGUUCGGAUUUACUGGGCGUAAAGCGCACGUAGGCGGAUCGUUAAGUCGGGGGUGAAAUCCUGGAGCUCAACUCCAGAACUGCCUUCGAUACUGGCGAUCUUGAGUCCGGAAGAGGUGGAGUGGAACUCCUAGUGUAGAGGUGGAAUUCGUAGAUAUUAGGAAGAACACCAGUGGCGAAGGCGGCUCACUGGUCCGGUACUGACGCUGAGGUGCGAAAGCGUGGGGAGCAAACAGG
rnacentral:rRNA from 1 species